UCGAACGUCCCUAACCACAGCCGAGCGCCGUUCCUCGACGGAUCACGAAUCUCCGCCGCAAAUUUCCCCCAUGGACGCCGCCGUAUCCCUCGAGAACUGCAGCUGGGGAAAGAUUUAGAUUUCAAAAUUGGAGAACCGCCAACGAGAUUUCUUCAUUGUGGUCACUAACAAUAGCGCAGCCUGCCGAUCCAUCUCAUCAAUGAUCACAACUGCAUCAGAAUUCACCUCAAAUCAGAGAGGACUGAUGGGCACUCGAUGUAAGCCUGUGAGUUGGAGACAUGGUGGAUUCUCAGUCCAUUGCUUCCACCAGAUCAACUGCCCAUCCAACUAAAGACCUUCGCCUAUGCCAAAUAUCAGAGAGGCAGUGAGGGGAAAAUACUCUUUAUAGACCCAACAGUUAAGCGUCUCGCAAGCCUAGCCCAUAGGCAGCUGAGGCACCUCUCAAUGACUCACCUCCCACAAUCUAUUCUGGCUCUAUGAUAUACUUUGAUCCGUGGGUCGAUUUGAUCUUAAGAAGUAAAGACACAAGCUCAAUCCAAGUCCAAACCCGUUGGCUUAAAACACUUUCUAAGCCUCGAUGGGUCGACUCAAUCUUCAAAAGUCAAGCCCAUGACCCAAUUCUUAGACUUGAUUCAUUAAGUUUGAGUCGAGGUUGGGUUAGUCGAUUGGACCAGCCCUUUGAAUAUUAAUUAUCCUUUUACCAUGUAUUAAAAUUUAUUAAAUUUCUUCCUUAGUGUAUUGUAAAGUUCAAAUCUUAUGGUUCAAGAGCUACCAAGUUAAUUGAAGUGAUUAAA